rnacentral:rRNA from 1 species
AUUGAACGCUGGCGGCAUGCUUUACACAUGCAAGUCGAACGGUAACAGGCCGCAAGGUGCUGACGAGUGGCGAACGGGUGAGUAAUGCAUCGGAACGUGCCCAGUCGUGGGGGAUAACUACUCGAAAGAGUAGCUAAUACCGCAUACGAUCUAUGGAUGAAAGCGGGGGACCGUAAGGCCUCGCGCGAUUGGAGCGGCCGAUGUCAGAUUAGGUAGUUGGUGGGGUAAAGGCUCACCAAGCCAACGAUCUGUAGCUGGUCUGAGAGGACGACCAGCCACACUGGGACUGAGACACGGCCCAGACUCCUACGGGAGGCAGCAGUGGGGAAUUUUGGACAAAGGGCGCAAGCCUGAUCCAGCAAUGCCGCGUGCAGGAAGAAGGCCUUCGGGUUGUAAACUGCUUUUGUACGGAACGAAACGGCUCCGGUUAAUACCCGGGGCUAAUGACGGUACCGUAAGAAUAAGCACCGGCUAACUACGUG